rnacentral:tRNA from 1 species
GGGGUUGUGGCUCAGUGGUAGAGCGCUCGCCUAGCACAAGUGAGGUGCAGUGUUCAACCCUCGGCACCA